GGAUGUGAGGGCGAUCUGGCUGCGACAUCUGUCACCCCAUUGAUCGCCAGGGUUGAUUCGGCUGAUCUGGCUGGCUAGGCGGGUGUCCCCUUCCUCCCUCACCGCUCCAUGAAGCUGCGCGCUCGGUCGAAGAGGACGGCCUUCCCCGAAUAGAGACGGACCGGUCUUCGUGGAGGGUAUACGAGUAGCUGCGCUCCCCUGCUAGAACCUCCAAACAAGCUCUCAAGAUAAAGAGGGGUGCAAUUCCACACGAUUCCUACCACCAGAACUCCAUAUCCCAUUCCCUCCCUGAUAGCUUUCCUAUUCUUUAACCCUCUGGGACCAUGG
rnacentral:snRNA from 1 species